ensembl:lncRNA LOC120102268 uncharacterized LOC120102268
CAGGAGUCAUCCGGGAAAGGCGGUGAGGCGUUGGACUUGGAAGCUGCAGGCGGAUUCCGUGACGCCAGCAAGGGUUCAGGGCGUGUGCAGGGGCGGAGGGUGAUGGAAGCUAUUACUGACAGAACGGUGUGAGCAUAAAAGAUGGUGUUGGAGGACCAUCCAGGGCUGAAGAACAGUGAGGCCAACCUGGUCUACAUAGUGAGUCCAGGAAUGCACCUGAUACAUACAUUCCAAAGCGCAUCUGCAAAUCUAGCUGCAAGAGAGGCCUGGAAAUGCGGUUCUUAUCUGUCUCACCUCUGUGCUGUCUGUACACAUGAUCAGAAACUGAGUGAGUUAGCUGGGAAUAAAACUGUUGGAAAAGUGCUUGCCUAGCACGUGCCAGGUGCUGGGUCCAAUCUUAGUACUGCAAGUUGAGUGAACCAAGCCAUA